rnacentral:lncRNA from 1 species
UUUGUACUUUAUUUAAACACAUGAAAUAAGGUUACAUAAACUCACCAAAUAAGAUUACAUAAACUCACCAAAUAAACUUAAAAACAAAAUACAAUUUAUUCUUCAACCACAUAGAAUUACAUAAACUCACCACAUAGAAUUACAUAAACUUAAAACAAAAACAAUUUAUUCUUCAACCACAUAGAAUUACAUAAACUUAAAAAAAAAAUACAAUUUAUUUUUCAACAACAAGCCUCAUUUUAAUUAUCUUCACCUUCAUACAAUCCCCACUGGUGCUCAAUCAAGUCAUUCUGGCGGGUUACAUGCCAAUAUGGCUCUUGCACAUCAGUGUACCGCUGAACAAUCAAUUCAUUGUAACGUCCAUCGCGUUCCAACAACUUAUGUUGCACGGGAUCUUCAAUCCGAUCAUGAGCACAGUAGAUACGUGUUCUUGAGUUGUUCAUCGGAUUCAGCUCAUAUUCAUCGAUGGCAUCAUAAUCAUACUCAUCUUCAACAAUCAUGUUGUGGAGAAUAAUACACAUCAUCAUGAUGGAUCGAAGAGCCUCGACAUCAAACAUUCUAGCUGCAGCCCUGACAAUCGCCCAACGAGCUUGCAGGAUACCAAAACAACGCUCGACAUCCUUCCUACACCAUUCUUGACAUUUUGCGAAGUGUUUUUCCUUUUCACUCUGUAGAUGUGGCACUGUUUUGACAAAUGUUGACCACCUUGGGUAAAUGCCAUCUGCAAGGUAGUAUGAUCCCUCGUAUUGGGUACCAUUAACCCAAUAUGUGCAUCUCGGUGAUUUUCCUUGCAGUAGUUCGUCGAACAUUAAGGAUUGGGCAAGGACAUUUAGGUCAUUCUGAGCUCUUGGAACACCAAAAAAAAAUGUCAAAUCCAUGUAUCAAAUGAAUCCACCGCUUCCAAAAUGAUGUUUUUGGCUCAUUUUCUGUCGCCAUAAGCUCCUUGCCAUGCACUUGGACAGUUUUUCCAAGUCCAGUGCAUGCAGUCGAUGCUUCCAAUCAUGCCAGGGAAGCCUCGCAUCUCACCCUUCCUCAGAAUCCUUCACAUGUCCCUUGGCGUGGGUGUCCGGAGGUACUCAUUCGUGUAAAAGGCUUCAAUUGCAGAGUAAAACUGCAUCAGGGACUCCAUAACAAUUGUUUUUCCCAUCCUUGCGAUCUCAUCCACUUGAUCUGCAGAUGCUUCAUAUGCAAGUAUUCGCAAGGAUGCCGUAAUUUUUUGCUUGGGAAUAAAACCUAGAACAUGAAAAGCAUCCUCUUUUUGCACAAAGUAUGGAUCAUGGUUGCAAAUAGCACUUGUUGAUGCACAAAACCGGAGGUCUUGGAACAACUUAAAUCCGACCAUGAAUCUGCAAGAAAUGUAAAUAACACAAGAUGUAUCGUGGUUCACCCCAAUGUUUGGGCUACGUCCACAUUCAUUGUAUUUCUCUGAGAAUAUUUGUGAGGGAGAGAGUGUGAGAGCUUUGCUUUAGAUAGGAGAGGCUUUGAGAGGGGGUAAGGAGUCUUAGGAAUUGGCCUCCCCUAAUUGUAAGGGUGAAGGGUCCUUUUAUAGAAUAAGGACUUCUCACUUAUUACAUAUUUGCCUCUUCCUUUAUCACAUAAUUACAUUUAAGUCCCCCGAGUAUUUGUACAAGAUCUAAAUACGAGGCCCUAAAUAUGGUAUAAACAGUAGUCCCCCAAGUCUUCAGUCAAGAGAGUCUUUUGGCUGGAGAUUUGAAAUUCAGUCCAUGUGUGGGCCGAAGUAAAUAGAUGUUGUCUUGAACUGAUGUUCGAUAUGAGGCGGUGCUCAAUCUGAAAUGAUGCUCAACUAGAAGUAGCACAUGCUACGAGGCUGCUCGGCUCGUGGCUUAUGUUACCUUCAUUGGCUCGGCUUGUG